GGCGGGGUAGCACAUGGAGUGCACUGUGUUCAACUUACGGGAGCCUUUGUACCACAUUCGGAGGUGCCCGUUCGACUCGGGCCCCCGCCA